AUUGAACGCUGGCGGCAUGCUUUACACAUGCAAGUCGAACGGCAGCGCGGGCUUCGGCCUGGCGGCGAGUGGCGAACGGGUGAGUAAUGCAUCGGAACGUGCCCAGUAGUGGGGGAUAGCCCGGCGAAAGCCGGAUUAAUACCGCAUACGACCUGAGGGUGAAAGCGGGGGACCGAAAGGCCUCGCGCUAUUGGAGCGGCCGAUGUCGGAUUAGCUAGUUGGUGGGGUAAAGGCUUACCAAGGCGACGAUCCGUAGCUGGUCUGAGAGGACGACCAGCCACACUGGGACUGAGACACGGCCCAGACUCCUACGGGAGGCAGCAGUGGGGAAUUUUGGACAAAGGGGGCAACCCUGAUCCAGCCAUGCCGCGUGCGGGAAGAAGGCCUUCGGGUUGUAAACCGCUUUUGUUCGGGAAGAAAUCCUCUGGGCUAAUACCCCGGGGGGAUGACGUUACCGGAAGAAUAAGCACCGGCUAACUACGUG
rnacentral:rRNA from 1 species